rnacentral:rRNA from 1 species
CGCAUCUGUGCAUGCAGCAUAUCAAUAGCGGAGGAAAAGAAACUAACAAGGAUUCCCUCAGUAACGGCGAGUGAAGCGGGAAGAGCUCAAAUUUGAAAUCUUGAAAGGUCACCUUUCACGAAUUGUAGUUUAAAGAAGUGUUUUCUGUUACGAUCGUAAUAUAAGUUCUUUGGAAUAGGACAUCACAGAGGGUGAGAAUCCCGUCUAUGAUUGCGAUUUGUAGCUUUGUGAUACACUUUCAAAGAGUCGGGUUGUUUGGGAAUGCAGCCCAAAACGGGAGGUAAAUUUCUUCUAAGGCUAAAUAUUGGCGAGAGACCGAUAGCGAACAAGUACCGUGAGGGAAAGAUGAGAAGAACUUUGAAAAGAGAGUUAAAUAGUACGUGAAAUUGUCAAAAGGGAAGCGUUUAACACCAGUGUUGUUUUCUGAAAAUCAACCUCUGUUAGCUUUAUGCAUGUUUGUUUAGACCUAAUCAGCUAUCUUGCAUGUUCUAUUGUUUGCAGUGGUGCACUUUUCAGUUUACAGGUCAACAUCAGUUUUUUUUACCGUAAAAAAGUUAAAGAAAGGUAGCUCAUGGCUCCGGUCGUGAGUGUUAUAGUCUUUUUCCUAUGCGGUAGGAGAGACUGAGGUCCUGCAGUGUAGGCUAUUUGGCUAGAUACUCAGGUGCUAUGUGAUACCAUUUCAUAAACAACUUGUUGAUUAUGUUUUGUCUAUUGCAUACUCGCUUGUACUAUCAUACCUACGCUUAGGAUGUUGACGAUCAGCUGAGCGCG